rnacentral:rRNA from 1 species
AAUGCCAGUCUCCGAGAACAAUAUCCAGCCUUGUACAACAUCGCUCGUGAUAAGAAUAAAACUAUUGCGCAGGUGCUCAGUUCAUUCCCGCCCAAUAUUUCAUUUAGGCGAGAUUUGAUUGGCCCCCGUCUUACGUUAUGGCAUAAUCUUUUAUCCCAUCUGGAUUUGAUCAAUUUGACAGAAGGUCGGGAUGUGUUUCACUAGAACCUUACUCCAUCGGGGUCUUUCACAGUAGACUCUAUGUACCGUGCGCUCACGCAUUCUGAGGUACCAAUGAGUAAUAGCAAGAAAAUCUGA